rnacentral:rRNA from 1 species
AAUUGGAGGGCAAGUCUGGUGCCAGCAGCCGCGGUAAUUCCAGCUCCAAUAGCGUAUAUUAAAGUUGUUGCAGUUAAAAAGCUCGUAGUUGAAUUUCGAGAUCAAUAUGUUGGUCGUGCUUAUGUGCGUACUGGCAUUAUUGAUUUCUCCCUUCUGAUGAACCAUGAUGCCAUUAAUUUGGUGUUGUGGGGAAUCAGGACUGUUACUUUGAAAAAAUUAGAGUGUUUAAAGCAGGCUCACGCUUGAAUACAUUAGCAUGGAAUAAUGAAAUAGGACGUUUGAUUCUAUUUUGUUGGUUUCUAGGAUCGACGUAAUGAUUAAUAGGGAUAGUUGGGGGCAUUAGUAUUCAAUUGUCAGAGGUGAAAUUCUUGGAUUUAUUGAAGACUAACUACUGCGAAAGCAUUUGCCAAGGAUGUUUUCAUUAAUCAAGAACGAAAGUUAGGGGAUCGAAGACGAUCAGAUACCGUCGUAGUCUUAACCAUAAACUAUGCCGACUAGGGAUCGGAUGAUGUUAAUUUUUUAAUGACUCAUUCGGCGCCUUACGGGAAACCAAAGUGU